rnacentral:rRNA from 1 species
UUAAACGCUGGCGGCAGGCCUAACACAUGCAAGUCGAGCGGAUGAAGGGAGCUUGCUCCUGGAUUCAGCGGCGGACGGGUGAGUAAUGCCUAGGAAUCUGCCUGGUAGUGGGGGAUAACGUCCGGAAACGGGCGCUAAUACCGCAUACGUCCUGAGGGAGAAAGUGGGGGAUCUUCGGACCUCACGCUAUCAGAUGAGCCUAGGUCGGAUUAGCUAGUUGGUGGGGUAAAGGCCUACCAAGGCGACGAUCCGUAACUGGUCUGAGAGGAUGAUCAGUCACACUGGAACUGAGACACGGUCCAGACUCCUACGGGAGGCAGCAGUGGGGAAUAUUGGACAAUGGGCGAAAGCCUGAUCCAGCCAUGCCGCGUGUGUGAAGAAGGUCUUCGGAUUGUAAAGCACUUUAAGUUGGGAGGAAGGGCAGUAAGUUAAUACCUUGCUGUUUUGACGUUACCAACAGAAUAAGCACCGGCUAACUUCGUG